UACGGAGGAUGCAAGCGUUAUCCGGAAUGAUUGGGCGUAAAGCGUCCGCAGGCGGCUAUGUAAGUCUGCUGUUAAAGAGUCUAGCUCAACUAGAUAAGAGCAGUGGAAACUACAUGGCUAGAGUGCGUUCGGGGCAGAGGGAAUUCCUGGUGUAGCGGUGAAAUGCGUAGAGAUCAGGAAGAACACCGGUGGCGAAGGCGCUCUGCUAGGCCGCAACUGACACUGAGGGACGAAAGCUAGGGGAGCGAAUGGG
rnacentral:rRNA from 1 species